GAUAUCGGUUAAUUAUUCAAAUUAGCUACUGAAAAACACGGAGAAAACCGCAACCGCAUCGUCAUGUGUUUUUCUAAGAUGUAUGCAAACAGGGGAAAUAUCGCCAAACCAACAAUUAAUUUGACCAAAACCUCACAAUAUAUCAUCAUUUGUAUGCACAGAUUGCUGGAUUUGAUUUACUUGAUGCAUUGUGUGUGCUGUAAGCUUUUCGUGGCGCUAGAUGUCAGACAGAUGCAAAUGGCAAAUACAUACGAAAGUGUAAAACGUGUAUGGCGAACAUUUGUUUUUCUGUCAUUAUAGAUGCUAGUUUGGUGAAAGUACAAACUGAGUGCUUCAAAUCAUUUAGAAGAGAUGCUGUUUUUAGGGCAGUUUAUUAAAGAAGACCUGACAUGGAUGACUUUCAAUGAGAAACGACUGCUAAUACUUAUAUAAAUUCAUUACAGAAGGACCCUACCAGACUAUAUUUGAAUACGGCAUACCCAUGAAUUCUGGAACUGUUAUUCCUUAACCCAGUUUGGAGGAUAAGAGCUUACCAACUAGUUAUAAAUAUGCUGAGGUGAUAUAUUGCAAAAUAGCCAACAUACAACAAUAUGGAUGACCCUCUGUCUGGUCAACAGGAGUUUAAAUAUGGACGGGACAGUGAUGUGGCAGCUCUUCCCUGGCUCAUUCACCUCUUGCCUUUCAUUUGUGAAAGGAAGAAAGACUGGAGAGGGUCAAUGUGCAACUGAAGCUACUGAUUGUGCUAUCUGAUGAGCAUCAAUCCAUGCUUUGAGGGGAAUGAAUCAGCACAGCCCUGCCUGCACUGCGUUGGGAACAGAAGUUGCAUCCAGAAUUUUUGCAUCAUUCUGGACCAAAAAGCCAUUCCCUCCAUGAUGAAGACCACUGAUGCAGCCUUCCACUACAUCAUGAGUAAAACAACUACAGAACUAAAUACCAGGUUGGAACGUAUUUAAGAAAAAUGAAACGUCUUUUGAAUUGAAAUGUCUGUUUUGUUAUGGAAAAAUCUUUAGUAUUGUGAAGGAUAAGCAUUUCUGCCUGCCAGUAAGGUAAUUGCAGUGUAUUUUAAUGUUCAAGUUUUGAGUAGGGUGGCUAAUUUUUUUAUUAAAGACCUUAUAAUAAGUGGUUUUCAUGUCACUGCGCUGUGGUAUAAGAUAACUUUCAUUAUUCCAUACUGUAUUCUGUAUUCUAAUUGUAGCUGAGGUAUUUAAAUAAGCAGUGUUAAAUGCAAAGUGUUGUGUGUAUCAAUGUAAAUAUUAAAUGUGAUGUACUUUAAUAAAAAGAGGUUUUGCAAUA